rnacentral:rRNA from 2 species
CCGUAUAGGGGAGCCGGAGGGAAACCGAGUCUUAAUUGGGCGUUAAGUUGCAGGGUAUAGACCCGAAACCCGGUGAUCUAGCCAUGGGCAGGUUGAAGGUUGGGUAACACUAACUGGAGGACCGAACCGACUAAUGUUGAAAAAUUAGCGGAUGACCUGUGGCUGGGGGUGAAAGGCCAAUCAAACCGGGAGAUAGCUGGUUCUCCCCGAAAGCUAUUUAGGUAGCGCCUCGUGAAUUCAUCUCCGGGGGUAGAGCACUGUUUCGGCUAGGGGGCCAUCCCGGCUUACCAACCCGAUGCAAACUGCGAAUACCGGAGAAUGUUAUCACGGGAGACACACGGCGGGUGCUAACGUCCGUCGUGAAGAGGGAAACAACCCAGACCGCCAGCUAAGGUCCCAAAGUCAUGGUUAAGUGGGAAACGAUGUGGGAAGGCCCAGACAGCCAGGAUGUUGGCUUAGAAGCAGCCAUCAUUUAAAGAAAGCGUAAUAGCUCACUGGUCGAGUCGGCCUGCGCGGAAGAUGUAACGGGGCUAAACCAU